UUGUGCCAGCAGCCGCGGUAAUACAGAGGGUGCGAGCGUUAAUCGGAAUUACUGGGCGUAAAGCGAGCGUAGGUGGCUUGAUAAGUCAGAUGUGAAAUCCCCGGGCUUAACCUGGGAACUGCAUCUGAUACUGUUAGGCUAGAGUAGGUGAGAGGGAGGUAGAAUUUCAGGUGUAGCGGUGAAAUGCGUAGAGAUCUGAAGGAAUACCGAUGGCGAAGGCAGCCUCCUGGCAUCAUACUGACACUGAGGUUCGAAAGCGUGGGUAGCAAACAGGAUUAGAUACCCUGGUAGUCCACGCCGUAAACGAUGUCUACUAGUCGUUGGGGAACUUGAUUCCUUAGUGACGCAGCUAACGCAAUAAGUAGACCGCCUGGGGGAGUACGGCCGCAAGGUUAAAACUCAAAUGAAUUGACGGGGGCCCGCACAAGCGGUGGAGCAUGUGGUUUAAUUCGAUGCAACGCGAAGAACCUUACCUGGUCUUGACAUAUCUAGAAUCCUGCAGAGAUGCGGGAGUGCCUUCGGGAAUUAGAAUACAGGUGCUGCAUGGCUGUCGUCAGCUCGUGUCGUGAGAUGUUGGGUUAAGUCCCGCAACGAGCGCAACCCUUUUCCUUAGUUACCAGCGGUUUGGCCGGGGACUCUAAGGAUACUGCCAGUGACAAACUGGAGGAAGGCGGGGACGACGUCAAGUCAUCAUGGCCCUUACGACCAGGGCUACACACGUGCUACAAUGGUAGGUACAGAGGGGCUGCUACACAGCGAUGUGAUGCGAAUCUCAAAAAGCCUAUCGUAGUCCAGAUUGGAAGUCUGCAACUCGACUCCAUUGAAGUCGGAAUCGCUAGUUAAUCGCGGGAUCAGAAUGCCGCGGUGAAUACGUUCCCGGGCCUUGUACACACCGCCCGUCACACCAUGGGAGUUGAUUGCACCAGAAGUGGGUAGCCUAACUUUUAGAGGGCGCUCACCACGGUGUGGUUG
rnacentral:rRNA from 1 species